rnacentral:lncRNA from 1 species
AUGUACAGAGGUCGACAUGAAUUAUUACCAUGUGAUUGUUUAUUGUGUGUGUGGAUGGGUGUACGAACACACACACACACACACACACACACACACACUCGGCGUGUACAGAUGCAUGUGUUGAUGUGCUCCUCUGUGUGUGUGCAGCUGGACACUCUGAGUCUUCUGAGCCUGAGGCAGUUAGUGGAGGUUUCCAGCACUCCUGGACUUCUGUCCAGCACCGCUGCGGUCAAUAAUCUGCUGCUCUACGUGCCGGACACUCAAUUCACCGAGUUCUUCUCAUCCCUCUCCGAUACGCUUCAGACGCAGGGCGUGGUUCUCCCGUCCCCCGUGCAGGAGGCGGUUCUGCAGCAGGUGUUUAACAGGGCCAAUCUGACCACAUCAUCAGACACUGAUCUACAGUUCUGGAUCCUGAACAUACUGCCGUCCUUCAUAGCCAACAUUACAGUCCAACACGUGACGUCCUACUUCAGCAUCGUCCAGCAGCGACCCUGUCCCAUCAGCCAGCAGGCGGUGCAGCUGUUGAACUCGUCCAGCUCCACCUUCCAGCCGGAGACACAAGAUCAGAUCUACCAGCUGAUCCUCGGCUCUCUCACAGGUGUCCAUCCAUCCGUCCAUCCAUACAUGUAUUCAUCCCUCCAUCCACUUAUCCAUCAUCCCUCUGUCUCCACAGGCCCCGCCCCGCUGCGCUGCUAUGGUGACCAGAGCUACUAUGCUUUCCUGAGCUCCUCCUUCAUGAGUUUCCAGUUCCCCGAUCUGACCACCUUCCUGUCUCUGAUGCCGCCGGCCCGUGUGCCAGAGCUGAUGGAGUCGGUGUCUCCAGCGGAGGUCAGCAGUCUCCUCAACCGGCCCAACGCUGUGGACGAUGUUACCCAAAUCUGCCGGUUUUUCAGAAUUUACCCAAAGACACCCCAGUACUUACAGACAGUAUGGACAUCUGUCACUCCUUUAAAAGUUUAUAAACUAAUGUAA